CCUACGGGAGUCAGCAGUGAGGAAUAUUGGUCAAUGGACGAAAGUCUGAACCAGCCAAGUAGCGUGCAGGAUGACUGCCCUAUGGGUUGUAAACUGCUUUUAUAAAGGAAUAAAACGAGUCACGUGUACCUUUUUGCAUGUACUUUAUGAAUAAGGAUCGGCUAACUCCGUGCCAGCAUCCGCGGUAAUACGGAGGCUCCGGGCGUUAUCCGGAUUUAUUGGGUUUAAAGGGAGCGUAGAUGGGUUGUUAAGUCAGUUGUGAAAGUUUGCGGCUCAACCGUAAAAUUGCAAUUGAUACUGGCAGGCUUGAGUACAGUUGAGGCAGGCGGAAUUCGUGGUGUAGCGGUGAAAUGCUUAGAUAUGACGAAGAACCCCGAUUGCGAAGGCAGCUUACUAAACUGUGACUGACAUUGAUGCUCGAAAGCGUGGGUAUCAAACAGGAUUAGAUACCCGGGUAGUC
rnacentral:rRNA from 1 species